rnacentral:rRNA from 1 species
UACGUAGGGUGCAAGCGUUGUCCGGAAUUAUUGGGCGUAAGGAGCUCGUAGGCGGUUUGUCGCGUCUGCUGUGAAAACUCGGGGCUUAACCCCGGGCCUGCAGUGGGUACGGGCAGACUAGAGUGCGGUAGAGGAGACUGGAAUUCCUGGUGUAGCGGUGAAAUGCGCAGAUAUCAGGAGGAACACCGGUGGCGAAGGCGGGUCUCUGGGCCGUAACUGACGCUGAGGAGCGAAAGCGUGGGGAGCGAACAGG